rnacentral:rRNA from 1 species
AAGUGCCUACGGGGGGCAGCAGUGGGGAAUAUUGCACAAUGGGGGAAACCCUGAUGCAGCGACGCCGCGUGAAGGAAGAAGUAUUUCGGUAUGUAAACUUCUAUCAGCAGGGAAGAAAAUGACGGUACCUGACUAAGAAGCCCCGGCUAACUACGUGCCAGCAGCCGCGGUAAUACGUAGGGGGCAAGCGUUAUCCGGAUUUACUGGGUGUAAAGGGAGCGUAGGCGGUUUAGCAAGUCAGAAGUGAAAGCCCGGGGCUCAACUCUGAGCCUGCAUUUGAAACUGUGUUUCUUGAGUGCUGGAGG